rnacentral:rRNA from 1 species
AUCCUGGCUCAGGACGAACGCUGGCGGCGUGCCUAAUACAUGCAAGUCGAGCGGACAGAUGGGAGCUUGCUCCCUGAUGUUAGCGGCGGACGGGUGAGUAACACGUGGGUAACCUGCCUGUAAGACUGGGAUAACUCCGGGAAACCGGGGCUAAUACCGGAUGGUUGUUUGAACCGCAUGGUUCAAACAUAAAAGGUGGCUUCGGCUACCACUUACAGAUGGACCCGCGGCGCAUUAGCUAGUUGGUGAGGUAACGGCUCACCAAGGCAACGAUGCGUAGCCGACCUGAGAGGGUGAUCGGCCACACUGGGACUGAGACACGGCCCAGACUCCUACGGGAGGCAGCAGUAGGGAAUCUUCCGCAAUGGACGAAAGUCUGACGGAGCAACGCCGCGUGAGUGAUGAAGGUUUUCGGAUCGUAAAGCUCUGUUGUUAGGGAAGAACAAGUACCGUUCGAAUAGGGCGGUACCUUGACGGUACCUAACCAGAAAGCC